rnacentral:rRNA from 1 species
ACGAACGCUGGCGGCGUGCCUAAUACAUGCAAGUCGAACGGCUUUUCUAUGGAAGCUUGCUUCCACUGAGAAGAUAGUGGCGAACGGGUGAGUAACACGUGGGUAACCUGCCCAUAAGAGGGGGAUAACAUCCGGAAACGGGUGCUAAUACCGCAUAGUUUUCUUGAUUGCAUGAUUGAGAAAGGAAAGACGGCCUUUGUGCUGUCGCUUAUGGAUGGACCCGCGGCGUAUUAGUUAGUUGGUGAGGUAACGGCUCACCAAGACGAUGAUACGUAGCCGACCUGAGAGGGUGAUCGGCCACAUUGGGACUGAGACACGGCCCAAACUCCUACGGGAGGCAGCAGUAGGGAAUCUUCCGCAAUGGACGAAAGUCUGACGGAGCAACGCCGCGUGAGUGAAGAAAGGUUUUCGGAUCGUAAAACUCUGUUGUCAGAGAAGAACAAGUUGGAGAGUAACUGCUCCAGCCUUGACGGUAUCUGACCAGAAAGCCACGGCUAACUACGUGCCAGCAGCCGC